rnacentral:rRNA from 1 species
AUGUUUAAAAUUGAUCUUGCUAAAGCUUUUGCUCGCCUAGAAUGGAAUUUCAUUGUGUUUGCUCUCGCGCAUAAAGGGUUGCAUGAUCACUUAAUUAAUUUGAUUCAUGCAUGCAUUUCUUCACCUACUUUCUCUAUGCUUGUUAAUGGACAUCAUUCUCAUAAAUUUAGAAGUUCUAGAGGUAUUCGUCAAGGCUGUCCUAUGUCUCCUUAUUUGUUUGUUAUUGCCAUUAAUGAAUUGUCUCUUGCCCUCAAUGAAGCCUUGGAUGCUCACCAUCUUCGAGGAAUUUCGCUUGUACCAAACUGCCCUCCUAUUCAUUCUCUAUUAUUUGCAGAUAAUUUGUUGGUUUUUAGUCAAGCCAAUAUGCAGGAAGCAAAUUCAAUGGCUCAACUCAUCCAGCAGUUUUGUUCUAUUUCAGGCCUAAAUCCAAACACUACAAAAAAUAAACUUCCGUGA